rnacentral:lncRNA from 1 species
UGAAGCUGACUGACAAGGGAUGAAGAGUGAAAAUUACAAUUUGAGAACCUCUUUGGUCAGCUAUUGGGAAAGAAUGAACUCUCCCCUGUGCAAACCACCUCAUGAUUUUUCAGGAAGCCAGGGCGAGGAACUUGGAUUCCAAAGCCUAGAGAAAGAUACUGAUCGGCUCCCCCCACUGCAGCUGUUUUGUUCUUCAAAUAUAUUAUCACUUUUUAAACGGAUGGUAAAGGAAAAAAAUGCAUUCAUUUUUUCAGCCCAAGGAGACUGCAGGAAAAAGCAGUUCUGCUGCUGAGGUACAACGUAG